CCUACGGGAGGCAGCAGUGAGGAAUAUUGGUCAAUGGACGAGAGUCUGAACCAGCCAAGUAGCGUGAAGGAUGACUGCCCUAUGGGUUGUAAACUUCUUUUAUCUGGGAAUAAACUGUUCCACGUGUGGGAUUUUGUAUGUACCAUAUGAAUAAGGAUCGGCUAACUCCGUGCCAGCAGCCGCGGUAAUACGGAGGAUCCGAGCGUUAUCCGGAUUUAUUGGGUUUAAAGGGUGCGUAGGUGGAUUGUUAAGUCAGUUGUGAAAGUUGGCGGCUCAACCGCAAAAUUGCAGUUGAAACUGGGAGUCUUGAGUACAGUAGAGGUGGGCGGAAUGCGUGGUGUAGCGGUGAAAUGCUUAGAUAUCACGAAGAACUCCGAUUGCGAAGGCAGCUCACUGGACUGCAACUGACACUGAGGCUCGAAAGUGUGGGUAUCAAACAGGAUUAGAUACCCUGGUAGUC
rnacentral:rRNA from 1 species